rnacentral:rRNA from 1 species
GUGGUGUUUAGGUGCGUGCCUAUGAGCCGCUCGUCUACUCGAAGUCCAACUCCGAUUAUGGCAUUGGAUUUGUCCCAAAGAGGGUGAGAGGCCCGUACGAGUAGACCUGGAGCAUAAGAGUGGCUUUUAGAUGCACGUGUCUUGGAGUCGGAUUGCUUGAGAAUGCAGUCCAAAGUGGGUGGUAAACUCCAUCCAAGGCUAAAUACUGGCACGAGUCCGAUAGUAAACAAGUACCGUGAGGGAAAGUUGAAAAGUACUCUGAAGAGAGAGUAAAUAGUACGUGAAGCCGCUUGUAGAGAAGCUGGUGGAGUCAAGCUCCAUGCCCGAAUGAUUAACAAUGAGAGUUUGUUGUGUUUGGGUCUAGUAGUCGGUGGAUCUGGAAAGGAUUCGGUGGAUUCACGUCCGCUGUAAGCCAUCCGGUGAGUUGCUUGUACCGACUAUGAAGGCUCCUCUCUUAUGUUCUAUCAUCGGGCAGCCACCAUGGUUGAUACCUUGUCUGGUGUGUGGUCGUUACACUGGCUCAUGCGGGCGUCAAGCUUGCUGAGCUCAGGAUGGCGGGUGGUGCCCUGAUUCGCUUGCCGGGUCUGUGGCACACGUAUUGGUUAUAUCCUGCCGGCGAUCAUGCCUUCUCCUACUAUGGAAUGGUAUCAUUCACUCAGCAGUCGUGUCCGCUCAAAUGGUAGCGACUGUAAGAAUCAUGGUGUUGGAGUAGAUUUUCCACCCGACCCGUCUUGAAACACGGACCAAGGAGUUUAACAUGUGCGCAAGUCAAUGGGCUCGUGAAACCCAGAGGCGUAAUGAAAGUGAAAGGUCAUGUAUGUUGGCCUUAGGUGUGAUCCUGGUUGUCCGACACAAAGGCUGCUAGGCGCAACACCGGCCCGUCUCAAGAUGUAGUCACCGGGGCUACGGCCGCUGGUGCAUCAUCGAG